AGGGUAUCAGCCUGAGUCUGAGGAGCUAUGUUGGGAGGUAGGGAGCUGAUGGUUUUAAAAUGCUAUCAGCUUCCCCUCCCACUAGCCAAGACUGGGAGGGGUAAUUGAAAUGGUGUGUUUAGCUCCUGCAAAGAUGAACUUUUUCCAUCUCUCCCACCUUCUCCCAGGUUACCCCACCCCACGAGGAGAGAAGCUCCAGGGAGCCCGCCGCUAUCCCCUUGCGGCCACUGCCCCCCUGCCCCAGCCAAGCCAAUGCAGCCAGAAAAUAAGUUGACAAAUCAUGGCAAGACAGGGAAUGGCGGGGCCCUAUCUCAGCACCAGGAUGUGAACCAAGGACCCACCUGCAACCUGGGCUCGAAGGGCGUGGGGGUGGGGAGACAUGGGGCCAAGGCCAGCCAGAUAUCAUCCAGCAACUCAAGUCUGAAGAAACCCCAGGCGGGGGUGCCUCCUUUCAGCUCACUCAAGGGCAAAGUGAAAAAGUGUAUCUGUGGACUCUGGAGAGCAGCGAGAGGCUGGGACCCCAUCCCUGGAGUCAGAGGCCAAAGUACCUGGUGUGAUCUCAGGCUUGUUUGAAUUUUCUGAAUAAGAGGAAAGAAGUUGGGGAAGUAAGAAGUCUGAGAAAUGUUGGGAACAAGACUCUCAGUGGGUAUGAGAAAUCCAUCACCGGGAUCAAUGGUUACUACCAGGAAGAUGCUAUACCGCCAUGCUUUUGAUGGCAGCCUCUAAGAAUAUAUAAUUUCCUGCAGUCUCGCUAUAUCGCAGGGGUCUGAUGAGGUAGCUCCAUCACUCACAAAUCCACGUGGUGGGUAUGACACCCAUGUUACCAAGGAGAUAACUAACAUGACAUAAAGAAGCUUGGUGGCUUAUUGAAGUCAUGUGACUAAGAUAUUUGAACCUAGGCCAUUGGACUGCAAAAAGUAUCGCUCUUUUCCAGGGACCCCACACUGCUUCUAUGAUUAAUAGAUGCUUGCCACCUUCAUGCUA